AUGCUUUAUACAUGCAAGUCGAACGGAGGCCCUAGCUUGCUAGGUGUCCUUAGUGGCGCACGGGUGAGUAACACGUGGGAACAUACCUUAUAGUACGGAAUAACUGCGGGAAACUGUAGCUAAUACCGUAUAUUCCAGCAAUGGGAAAGAUUUAUCGCUAUAAGAUUGGCCCGCGCAAGAUUAGCUUGUUGGUGAGGUAAAAGCUCACCAAGGCAUCGAUCUUUAGCUGGUUUGAGAGGACGAUCAGCCACACUGGGACUGAGACACGGCCCAGACUCCUACGGGAGGCAGCAGUAGGGAAUAUUGGACAAUGGGGGCAACCCUGAUCCAGCAAUGCAGCGUGAGUGACGAAGGCCUUAGGGUUGUAAAACUCUUUCAUCGGUGAGGAUAAUGACAGUAGCCGAAGAAGAAGGACCGGCUAAU
rnacentral:rRNA from 1 species